GAUCAUUACAGAGUUCUAAAAAGACUCCCAAACCAUUGUGAACGUUACCCGUAACAUGUUGCCUCGGCGGGCGUCCCCUCCCUGGGGGCGCGUGGCUUUCGGGCUGCCCGCCGGAGCGCCAAAAACUAUUUUGUAUUUUAGUGGCCUCUCUGAGAAAACAAGCAAAUAAGUUAAAACUUUCAACAACGGAUCUCUUGGUUCUGGCAUCGAUGAAGAACGCAGCGAAAUGCGAUAAGUAAUGUGAAUUGCAGAAUUCAGUGAAUCAUCGAAUCUUUGAACGCACAUUGCGCCCGCCAGUAUUCUGGCGGGCAUGCCUGUUCGAGCGUCAUUUCAACCCUCAAGCCCAGCUUGGUGUUGGGGUCCUACGGCUGCCGUAGGCCCUGAAAGAAAGUGGCGGGCUCGCUAUCAACUCCGAGCGUAGUAGUAACAUAUCUCGCUAGGGAGUCGUCGCGGGUUCCGGCCGUGAAAGCCCCAUCUUUUACACAAGGUUGACCUCGGAUCAGGUAGGAAUACCCGCUGAACUUAAGCAUAUCAAUAAGCGGAGGAAAAGAAACCAACAGGGAUUGCCCCAGUAACGGCGAGUGAAGCGGCAACAGCUCAAAUUUGAAAUCUGGCUUCGGCCCGAGUUGUAAUUUGUAGAGGAUGCUUUUGGUGAGGUGCCUUCUGAGUUCCCUGGAACGGGACGCCAGAGAGGGUGAGAGCCCCGUAUAGUCGGCCACCGAUCCUUUGUAAAGCUCCUUCGACGAGUCGAGUAGUUUGGGAAUGCUGCUCAAAAUGGGAGGUAUAUCUCUUCUAAAGCUAAAUAUUGGCCAGAGACCGAUAGCGCACAAGUAGAGUGAUCGAAAGAUGAAAAGCACUUUGAAAAGAGGGUUAAAUAGUACGUGAAAUUGUUGAAAGGGAAGCGCUUGUGACCAGACUUGUGCCGGGCUGAUCAUCCAGUGUUCUCACUGGUGCACUCUGCCCGGCUCAGGCCAGCGUCGGUUCUCGCAGGUGGACAAAAGCUUCGGGAACGUGGCCCCUCCGGGGGUGUUAUAGCCCGUUGCUCAAUACACUUGUGGGGACCGAGGUUCGC
rnacentral:rRNA from 1 species